GGAUGGAGUAUGGCUUAGUGGUGGAGUGUCUGCUUUGAAUGCAGAAGGUCCCAGGUUCAAUCACCAGCAUGUCCA
rnacentral:tRNA from 1 species